rnacentral:snRNA from 1 species
AUCAUUUCAAUCAAGUGUAGUAUCUGUUCUUAUCAGUUUAAUAUCUGAUAUGUCCUCGAUCUGCGCACAGGAGGCAUGUGGGGAGUGGGGGAGUGAAGAACCUGCACCCAGGAGUCAUUGGACUCCAGACCAGGGAACACCACAA